rnacentral:lncRNA from 1 species
CUAAGAGACGCUUUUAAAGGCAAGACUGCCUUCUCCAGAAGCUCAUUCUUCAAGUCCCCUCCCCAUGCAAGCAAAGACAGUCAGGCGCUGUGAAAGUUACAUGGCAUGACAUCCUCUCAAACGCUACCUGACAGACUGCUGCAAUCACCCUGUGAAUGCUUGUUGUGAGGACAAACUGAGAUGAGGUUUGUCAAGCGUUCAGCACAGAAAAUGCUCAACAUCUCUCUCUGGAUGACCAGCAGUUACUUCAAAUGCAUCCCCCAAGGCAGUUCAUCUUCCAUGACCAGUUUUGCAACUGCUGGACACCAUGAACUGCUUCUGCAUGGCAUGAACUGCUUUCUGAAUGCCUCUUCUUCCACCCAAGUCCCUUUCUAGUUCACCUCCACCUACCAUAGUACUGCUCGAUUAACCCCCAAAGCCUAGCUUUCAUCAUGUCCCU